rnacentral:rRNA from 1 species
AGAGUUUGAUCCUGGCUCAGAACGAACGCUGGCGGCGUGGAUAAGACAUGCAAGUCGAACGAGAGAAUUGCUAGCUUGCUAAUAAUUCUCUAGUGGCGCACGGGUGAGUAACACGUGAGUAACCUGCCCCCGAGAGCGGGAUAGCCCUGGGAAACUGGGAUUAAUACCGCAUAGUAUCGAAAGAUUAAAGCAGCAAUGCGCUUGGGGAUGGGCUCGCGGCCUAUUAGUUAGUUGGUGAGGUAACGGCUCACCAAGGCGAUGACGGGUAGCCGGUCUGAGAGGAUGUCCGGCCACACUGGAACUGAGACACGGUCCAGACACCUACGGGUGGCAGCAGUCGAGAAUCAUUCACAAUGGGGGAAACCCUGAUGGUGUGACGCCGCGUGGGGGAGUGAAGGUCUUCGGAUUGUAAACCCCUGUCAUGUGGGAGCAAAUUAAAAAGAUAGUACCACAAGAGGAAGAGACGGCUAACUCUGUGCCAGCAGCCGCGGUAAUACAGAGGUCUCAAGCGUUGUUCGGAAUCACUGGGCGUAAAGCGUGCGUAGGCUGUUUCGUAAGUCGUGUGUGAAAGGCGCGGGCUCAACCCGCGGACGGCACAUGAUACUGCGAGACUAGAGUAAUGGAGGGGGAACCGGAAUUCUCGGUGUAGCAGUGAAAUGCGUAGAUAUCGAGAGGAACACUCGUGGCGAAGGCGGGUUCCUGGACAUUAACUGACGCUGAGGCACGAAGGCCAGGGGAGCGAAAGGGAUUAGAUACCCCUGUAGUCCUGGCAGUAAACGGUGCACGCUUGGUGUGCGGGGAAUCGACCCCCUGCGUGCCGGAGCUAACGCGUUAAGCGUGCCGCCUGGGGAGUACGGUCGCAAGAUUAAAACUCAAAGAAAUUGACGGGGACCCGCACAAGCGGUGGAGUAUGUGGCUUAAUUCGAUGCAACGCGAAGAACCUUACCUGGGCUUGACAUGUAAUGAACAACAUGUGAAAGCAUGCGACUCUUCGGAGGCGUUACACAGGUGCUGCAUGGCCGUCGUCAGCUCGUGUCGUGAGAUGUUUGGUUAAGUCCAGCAACGAGCGCAACCCCUGUUGCCAGUUACCAGCACGUGAAGGUGGGGACUCUGGCGAGACUGCCCAGAUCAACUGGGAGGAAGGUGGGGACGACGUCAGGUCAGUAUGGCCCUUAUGCCCAGGGCUGCACACGUACUACAAUGCCCAGUACAGAGGGGGCCGAAGCCGCGAGGCGGAGGAAAUCCUGAAAACUGGGCCCAGUUCGGACUGUAGGCUGCAACCCGCCUACACGAAGCCGGAAUCGCUAGUAAUGGCGCAUCAGCUACGGCGCCGUGAAUACGUUCCCGGGUCUUGCACAAAGCGCCCGUCA